CUGCGGUGGGAAAUAACCCCGGGAAACUGGGGAUAAUGUCCCAUAGGCUACGGAUGCUGGAAUGCUCUGUAGCUCAAAGAUUUAUCGCCACAGGAUGGGUCUGCGGCCGAUUAGGUAGUUGUUGGGGUAACGGCCCAACAAGCCUUUGAUCGGUACGGGUUGUGGGAGCAAGAGCCCGGAGAUGGAUUCUGAGACACGAAUCCAGGCCCUACGGGGCGCAGCAGGCGCGAAAACUUUACAAUGCGGGAAACCGUGAUAAGGGAACUCCGAGUGUCCGUAAAUGCGGACUGUCCGUAUGUUUAAAAAGCAUGCGAAGAAAGGGCCGGGCAAGACCGGUGCCAGCCGCCGCGGUAAUACCGGCGGCUCGAGUGGUGGCCACUAUUACUGGGCUUAAAGCGUUCGUAGCUGGGUUGUUAAGUUUCUUGGGAAAUCUACCGGCUUAACCGAUAGGCGUCCAAGGGAUACUGGCAAUCUAGGGACCGGGAGAGGUGAGGGGUACUUCAGGGGUAGGAGUGAAAUCCUGUAAUCCUUGGGGGACCACCUGUGGCGAAGGCGCCUCACCAGAACGGCUCCGACAGUGAGGGACGAAAGCUGGGGGAGCAAACCGGAUUAGAUACCCGGGUAGUCCCAGCCGUAAACGAUGCGCGUUAGGUGUAUCGAUGACCACGAGUCAUCGAGGUGCCGAAGGGAAACCGUGAAACGCGCCGCCUGGGAAGUACGGUCGCAAGGCUGAAACUUAAAGGAAUUGGCGGGGGAGCACCACAACAGGUGGAGCCUGCGGUUUAAUCGGACUCAACGCCGGAAAUCUCACCGGAUAAGACAGCUGAAUGAUAGCCGGGCUGAAGACUCUGCUUGACUAGCUGAGAGGAGGUGCAUGG
rnacentral:rRNA from 1 species